rnacentral:tRNA from 1 species
UUAAGUCUUAUAUUCAAUAAUGAUAUAAAAUUGCAAAUUUUAAGGUGAAUUUUUUUUUCUAAGG